UACACACACACAUACAUACAUAUAUACAUGAUACAUACAUACAUACAUACACUUGUUUUAACCCACAGAGCACAGACAUUCCGCUUCUUCUGCUUGUUAAUUUCCCAUAUAAACGAAACACACAGAUAUAUGAUAAACAUUCAUGGAGCUGUCCAUAUCUAUCCGUCAUAUCUUUGAUCUGAUUGAGCCGUGCCAAUAUCUCGGUGCUCUUCCGUCUCAUCUUCCCUUUCCAAGCCAUCCGAUGUUCGCCCAGGUAUUUUUUGGUAUAUAUAUCUGUCUUCCAUGAGAAUCUUAAACACGAGUCUCUGUUAUAAAACUGAUCAUGAUUUGGAACACGAUCAGAUCUUUUGAAGUGGGGCAACCAUAUUCUCUUUGGUAAGAAGUAGAGAACUCUGAUCUUGUUUGGUUACAGUCGAUGGGUUUAAGUCUCCGCAAACAUGGUUUGAUCACUUAAAAAUCAUAUAGUAUGAUAUAUAUUUUUGUAUAUCGAACUCAGUGGACGACAAUGAGAUCGAUACUCUGUUGCAUUGCAUAUAUAUAUCCACCUUUUGUUUGAACAAAUGUUGUGAUCGAAUCUUAUAACGGGAGGCAAUACAAUUUUUGUCUGAGGAAGUCGUAUACGCUAACAACAUUAGCCUUCCUUUUUUAUAUAUAUAUAAUAAUGAUAAUUAUGAGGCCCACUUUAGAUUUUAAGUCGUAAACAACACGUAAGAACCAAGUUUUAAAUAAUAAUUGUGAUGAUAUAUGAAACUCAGAACAAAGAGAGAGAGAGAGAAGUGGUUCCACGUUAUCGUCCUCCUGGAUUACAAAUCCAAGACAGAGAAUGUUUCUAGACGCCUUUCCCCUCCAUGUUCAUCUCUCUCUCUCUCCCUAUAUGUAUGUAUGCAUCAUGUGUGUGUGUAUAUAUAUAUAUAAAUAAUGGUUACGUCCGGUUUUGAUAUUUUUAAGAAUUUCGGAAGAAUCAUCCGGCAGGUACCUCGACUCUGCCAUCAAUUCCGACUUGUGUCUAUUAAAUUAGUUUUUUUUCCUUAAAUGUAUUGUGUACGAUCACCCGUGCCAUAAGCUACGUAUAUUAUUCUUAAACCUUUUUUUUUUGUGUGGAGGACGUGCAUACACAAAUACAAUAUUUGAGAGAUGGGAUUAUAACUUCGAUGGAGGAGCUGAUCCAAUCUGGCAAGCUCUUAGAGAAGAGGCCAAGUUCCAGCAGGCAGGAGAAGAACCAAUCUUAAGCAGCUUGAUGUACGGGAGUAUAUUGUCCCACCAGUCCUUGGAACAUUCUCUGUGUUCCGUCCUCGCCCAUCGCCUCCACGGCCCUUCCCUCCUCCCUUGUCAUCUUCUCGACAUUUUUCUCAGCGUCGUCGCCGCUGACAGAUGCGUUCGGCGUUCUAUUCGCCUUGAUUUGCAGGCAUUUAAAGACAGAGAUCAUUCUUGUCUGUCAUACAGCUCAGCUCUUUA